rnacentral:rRNA from 1 species
GACUCCUACGGGAGGCAGCAGUGGGGAAUAUUGCGCAAUGGGCGAAAGCCUGACGCAGCGACGCCGCGUGGGGGAUGACGGCCUUCGGGUUGUAAACCUCUUUCAGCAGGGACGAAGCGAGAGUGACGGUACCUGCAGAAGAAGCACCGGCCAACUACGUGCCAGCAGCCGCGGUAAUACGUAGGGUGCAAGCGUUGUCCGGAAUUAUUGGGCGUAAAGAGCUCGUAGGCGGUUUGUUGCGUCGGCUGUGAAAACCUGAGGCUCAACCUCAGGCCUGCAGUCGAUACGAGCAGACUAGAGUGUUGCAGGGGAGACUGGAAUUCCUGGUGUAGCGGUGAAAUGCGCAGAUAUCAGGAGGAACACCGGUGGCGAAGGCGGGUCUCUGGGCAACAACUGACGCUGAGGAGCGAAAGCGUGGGGAGCGAACAGGAUUAGAUACCCUGGUAGUCCACGCCGUAAACGUUGGGCGCUAGGUGUGGGGCUCAUUCCACGAGUUCCGUGCCGCAGCUAACGCAUUAAGCGCCCCGCCUGGAGAGUACGGCCGCAAGGCUAAAACUCAAAUGAAUUGACGGGG